rnacentral:rRNA from 1 species
GUGCCAGCCGCCGCGGUAAUAGCGGCAGCUCGAGUGAUGUCCAAUAUUAUUGCCCCUAAAGCGUCCGUAGCUGGCGAGCCAAGAACGUCGGGAAAUCCACCUGGGCAACAGGUGGGCGUCCGGCGAAAACUGUCUGGCUUGGAACCGGAAGGCUCAGAGGGUACGUCCGGGGUAGGAGUGAAAUCCCGUAAUCCCGGACGGACCACCGAUGGCGAAAGCACUCUGAGAAGACGGAUUCGACAGUGAGGGACGAAGGCCAGGGUCUCGAACCGGAUUAGAAACCCUCGUAGUCC